rnacentral:tRNA from 1 species
GGGGAUGUAGCUCAGUAGUAGAGCACUUUGCCUAGCAUGUGUAAGGCCCUAGGUUCCAUCCCUAGCAUCGUGA